GACUUCGUGGUGCAAUUGGAAGCAUACUCGACUCGUAUUUGAGAGGUCCAGGGUUCGAGUCCAGCGAGGACA
rnacentral:tRNA from 1 species